GUCGAGCGGAUGACGGGAGCUUGCUCCUUGAUUCAGCGGCGGACGGGUGAGUAAUGCCUAGGAAUCUGCCUGGUAGUGGGGGACAACGUUUCGAAAGGAACGCUAAUACCGCAUACGUCCUACGGGAGAAAGCAGGGGACCUUCGGGCCUUGCGCUAUCAGAUGAGCCUAGGUCGGAUUAGCUUGUUGGUGAGGUAAUGGCUCACCAAGGCGACGAUCCGUAACUGGUCUGAGAGGAUGAUCAGUCACACUGGAACUGAGACACGGUCCAGACUCCUACGGGAGGCAGCAGUGGGGAAUAUUGGACAAUGGGCGAAAGCCUGAUCCAGCCAUGCCGCGUGUGUGAAGAAGGUCUUCGGAUUGUAAAGCACUUUAAGUUGGGAGGAAGGGCAGUAAGUUAAUACCUUGCUGUUUUGACGUUACCGACAGAAUAAGCACCGGCUAACUCUGUGCCAGCAGCCGCGGUAAUACAGAGGGUGCAAGCGUUAAUCGGAAUUACUGGGCGUAAAGCGCGCGUAGGUGGUUUGUUAAGUUGGAUGUGAAAGCCCCGGGCUCAACCUGGGAACUGCAUCCAAAACUGGCAAGCUAGAGUACGGUAGAGGGUGGUGGAAUUUCCUGUGUAGCGGUGAAAUGCGUAGAUAUAGGAAGGAACACCAGUGGCGAAGGCGACCACCUGGACUGAUACUGACACUGAGGUGCGAAAGCGUGGGGAGCAAACAGGAUUAGAUACCCUGGUAGUCCACGCCGUAAACGAUGUCAACUAGCCGUUGGAAUCCUUGAGAUUUAGUGGCGCAGCUAACGCAUUAAGUUGACCGCCUGGGGAGUACGGCCGCAAGGUUAAACUCAAUGAAUUGACGGGGCCCGCACAAGCAGUGGAGCAUGUGGUUUAAUUCGAAGCACGCGAAGAACUUACCAGGCUUGACAUGCAGAGACUUUCCAGAGAUGGAUUGGUGCCUUCGGGAACUCUGACACAGUGCUGCAUGGCUGUCUCA
rnacentral:rRNA from 1 species